UUUACCAGCCCUUUAUACUCUAUGCUGUCAUAUUGAUUUGAUUUAAGCUCCUCUAGCCGGCGCAGUGCAGUAUCCAGGCUCUUAAUCCUAUACAGUACACAGAGAGAGAAGGGUAUAUAAACAGGAGAGGAGGAUAAUCAUUCAGAAUAAGAAGAUCAUUGUAACAGUUCAUAGGCAAAGCUAACUAUAUAGCACUAGAAAACCCAAGAAUAUCAAACAAGGCUAAAUUGCAAGAUGUCUGCCGCUCUACAAUUUUCUGCCGGUAAACUGAUGGCCGCCUACGGGGCUCUUACCGCUGCGGCGGUUCUUCCAGGUUACAUGCAAAUGCAGGGAAUCAAGGACAGACAAGAAUCGGCGAUAUCGUCUGGACGGCCGGCAAUCGUGGGUAACUU